UAAAUGGUGGGUUUGCGGGGGCCCGCGGCAACCAUAUCAUGCAGUCGAGCGGACAGAUGGGAGCUUGCUCCCUGAUGUUAGCGGCGGACGGGUGAGUAACACGUGGGUAACCUGCCUGUAAGACUGGGAUAACUCCGGGAAACCGGGGCUAAUACCGGAUGGUUGUUUGAACCGCAUGGUUCAGACAUAAAAGGUGGCUUCGGCUACCACUUACAGAUGGACCCGCGGCGCAUUAGCUAGUUGGUGAGGUAACGGCUCACCAAGGCAACGAUGCGUAGCCGACCUGAGAGGGUGAUCGGCCACACUGGGACUGAGACACGGCCCAGACUCCUACGGGAGGCAGCAGUAGGGAAUCUUCCGCAAUGGACGAAAGUCUGACGGAGCAACGCCGCGUGAGUGAUGAAGGUUUUCGGAUCGUAAAGCUCUGUUGUUAGGGAAGAACAAGUGCCGUUCAAAUAGGGCGGCACCUUGACGGUACCUAACCAGAAAGCCACGGCUAACUACGUGCCAGCAGCCGCGGUAAUACGUAGGUGGCAAGCGUUGUCCGGAAUUAUUGGGCGUAAAGGGCUCGCAGGCGGUUUCUUAAGUCUGAUGUGAAAGCCCCCGGCUCAACCGGGGAGGGUCAUUGGAACUGGGGAACUUGAGUGCAGAAGAGGAGAGUGGAAUUCCACGUGUAGCGGUGAAAUGCGUAGAGAUGUGGAGGAACACCAGUGGCGAAAGGCGACUCUCUGGUCUGUAACUGACGCUGAGGAGCGAAAGCGUGGGGAGCGAACAGGAUUAGAUAUUGCGUCGUGGGUGAGAUAAAA
rnacentral:rRNA from 1 species